rnacentral:rRNA from 1 species
UAGGGAAUCUUCCACAAUGGGCGCAAGCCUGAUGGAGCAACGCCGCGUGAGUGAAGAAGGUCUUCGGAUCGUAAAACUCUGUUGUUAGAGAAGAACACGAGUGAGAGUAACUGUUCAUUCGAUGGCGGUAUCUAACCAGCAAGUCACGGCUAACUACGUGUCAG